GUAAAGAAACUUCCUUUUGGCCAUACUUGUGGGAGUACCAAUUGCAGCAAAGGAAUGGCAAAUAGAGAUUGGCUUGCUGAUAAAGGGAGGGCUGCACUUGAGGAGAAUCCCACGGUGAGUGCAAAACAACUUAGAGAAACUUUGCAAAAGGAGUAUGAUAUUAAGCUUCAGUACACCGAUGUUUGGAAAGGAAGAGCUCGUGCAAAGGAUCAAUUGGAAGGUACAUAUAAGGAGAAUUUUCAGCAGUUGUGGAACUUCAGAGCCGAAUUGUUGGCAGCCAAUCCUGGAAGUAUAUUUGAGAUAGACAUAAAAACAACUACCAACAAAAAGGUUUUUAAUAGGUUGUUCAUUGCCUUCAAGCCAUGCAUUGAUGGAUUUUUGGCAGGGUGCAGACCAUAUUUGGGGGUUGAUGCAACUUUUCUUAGUGGGAAAUAUACCGGACAAUUGGCAGCCACAAUUGGUGUGGAUGGGCAUAGUUGGAUGUUUCCGGUAGCAUUUGGAAUAUUUGAGAAAGAAAAUACAGAAAAUUGGGUAUGGUUCAUGGAGCAGCUGAAAUUGGCCAUUGGAGAGCCACAAGGGCUUGCGAUCCAUAUAGAUGCAUGUAAGGGGUUGGAGAAUGCCGUUUCUAAGGUCUACCCAAAUUGUGAACAUAGAGAAUGCAUGAUGCAUCUAAUGCUUAACUUC
rnacentral:rRNA from 1 species